GCGAUUAGAAGCUGCCUGAUACUGGCGCACAGAACUAAAUACUUGUAGCGCACAAAUUGUCGAUAAUCAGCACGAUCGAUCAGUAAUAGUCGAUGCAAACACAUGGGUAUUUGCGUAUAACAAGCGAUCGAGGCGAUAAGUAUACUAGCUGUUGAAAUGAAAGCGAAAAGGGCAAAAAUGACAGCGUAGUUGGAGCGAAACGAAAUGGUAGACCAGGUGGCGAAAGGGCGAGUUAAGUGGAUUUUGGCGAAUAAGUGGUUGUUUGGUUGGAGAUCAAGCGAGUGUUUUCAAUGCUAAUUUGUAGGAAUACAUACGUAUGAAUGUAUGUAGGUCUCAACUGCAAUUUAAAUAAAAGCAAUGAAAUCA